rnacentral:rRNA from 1 species
GGGGAAUUUUCCGCAAUGGGCGAAAGCCUGACGGAGCAAUGCCGCGUGGAGGUAGAAGGCCUACGGGUCGUGAACUUCUUUUCCCGGAGAAGAAGCAAUGACGGUAUCUAACCAGAAAGCCACGGCUAACUACGUGCCAGCAGCCGCGGUAAUACGUAGGUGGCAAGCGUUGUCCGGAAUUAUUGGGCGUAAAGCGCGCGCAGGCGGUCUCUUAAGUCUGAUGUGAAAGCCCCCGGCUCAACCGGGGAGGGUCAUUGGAAACUGGGAGACUUGAGGACAGAAGAGGAGAGUGGAAUUCCAAGUGUAGCGGUGAAAUGCGUAGAUAUUUGGAGGAACACCAGUGGCGAAGGCGGCUCUCUGGUCUGUUACUGACGCUGAGGCGCGAAAGCGUGGGGAGCAAACA